rnacentral:rRNA from 1 species
UGGGGAAUCUUGGACAAUGGGCGCAAGCCUGAUCCAGCCAUGCCGCGUGAGUGAAGAAGGCCUUCGGGUUGUAAAGCUCUUUUGUCAGGGACGAUAAUGACGGUACCUGAAGAAUAAGCCCCGGCAAACUUCGUGCCAGCAGCCGCGGUAAUACGAAGGGGGCUAGCGUUGUUCGGAAUUACUGGGCGUAAAGCGCACGUAGGCUGAUUGUUAAGUCAGGGGUGAAAUCCCAGAGCUCAACUCUGGAACUGCCCUUGAUACUGGCAAUCUCGAGUCCGGAAGAGGUUAGUGGAAUUCCCAGUGUAGAGGUGAAAUUCGUAGAUAUUGGGAAGAACACCAGUGGCGAAGGCGGCUAACUGGUCCGGUACUGACGCUGAGGUGCGAAAGCGUGGGGAGCAAACAGGAUUAGAUACCCGCGUAGUCCCUGAGCGGGCUGGCAAGGCGCAU